GCCAGUUUGGCUCAGUGGAUAGAGUGUCGGACUUCGGACCAAAGGGUCACAGGUUUGAUUCCUGUCAAGGGCA
rnacentral:tRNA from 1 species